rnacentral:hammerhead_ribozyme from 1 species
AUCCAGCUGAUGAGUCCUAAAUAGGACGAAACAUGUAUCCUAGAU